AAUAAGGAGGCUACGCAACUUUUUUAAAUGGUAAAUAUCAGGGACUAUUGGUAGCUUCUUUACGAAUCAAAUGUUACGUGGCGAGCCUUUUCAAAAAAGUCGACUCUCUGCUCUUCAAAACCAUCAUUUAGUAGCUUCAAACAUCGGCUUCCAUUAAAAGUUGAGCGCAAUCAUGUACGAUAUCAUGAAUUUCGAAUCCCGUAAUACCACUGUGAAGUUCAGACCUUUUAAAAUCCUGAAAAAAAGAACGCAUCAUUAGCUCAUCAAAAUAUUCCUCACCAACAAUCUCCAUCUCUUCGCAUUGCACUCCCUUCAGGUAAUCUUGUGCCAUCCACAACUUGAUCAAUUCAUCUUUGUUUAAGAUCUUAUCUUUGGGAAAAACAGAGCAAUAUGAAAAGCACUACUUAAGAGCCCAAGGUAACUCGUAACAACUCAAAAAUAAGGGAGGGAAAAGAUCUUGUUCAGCCUCUUCAAGGCUGCAUAUUUCGCUAUCCAAGAUGCUUUGCCAUUGUUCUACAGUUCUUUUGAAUCGCAGCAGACCACCUAGAAUCUUUGCAGCAAGUGGCAAGCCCUUACACUUUUCUGCAAUUUUCCCCAAUAUCUGCUAAAUUUUCACACUCAUCUCUUGUCCUCCCAUAGAAUGCUCUAUGGCUAAGUAAUGACCAACAUUCCUCCUGAGACAAGGUAUGUAAUGAAAAUACGUUUGCCGUCGUUGUUCCCAUAAUUAUGGCAACUCUUUCCUUACGAGUGGUUAUCAAUACUCUGCUCCCAUGAGAGCUAUACUUGAGGGAAAUUUUCAAUUGCUCCCAUUUUGUAGCAUCUUCAGUCCUCACAUCAUCCAACACAAGGAGUAUUUUCUUCCCCAAAUCAUGAUUACGAAUUUGCUGCAAAAUGUAAUCCUUUCCAACUAAAUUCAGAGCUUCGCCUUUAAACGCUUCAAGGAUCUCUUUGGCAAUCCUUAUCUCAUCAAAAGGAUCUGAGACACAAAUCCGUAUUCUCUUGUCAAAAUAACAUUCAACCUCAUUGUGAUUGUAAACCAGUUGAGCAAGUGUCGUUUUUCCGAUUCCUCCCAUCCCUACUAGAGAGAUGAUUUGCAAGCUCGAACCUCCUCCCUUACUAUUCUCUCCUACCAAUAUGUUCACUAGAAUUGUUGUCUCUUGACACCUACCAUAAACUUCUUCUUCAUCUAUGAAAGAGGAAGUUAUUUGUCUUUUGGGUUCUUCAACGUCCUUCUCUAACCCAAAUUUAUACCUAUCUUGUCAGUAUCUAUACACUCAAGUUGUUUAUUCGAGUCUUUUAUCUUUGAAAGCAAACCUUUUUUUAAAAAUAGUAUAAGAACUUUCGAGAGAAAGAAGAGAUAGAGUAGCCGUAGUUCUUAAGGCAAGGGGAAAAUCUUCAACUCUUUUUGUUCUUUCUCCAAUUGUGGAUUGGAGUUUGGCAGGUAUUUCCACUCAUCAACACAUCAUCAACGUUCAUACGGUACAUCUUUGAGUUUCUUUAACAAUUUCUGACAUAGGGCAUCCCUUUACCUGUUGAGGCAAAGAAAGAUCUAAAAUGUAUCAGCAUCCAAGUAUAAUUUCAUGACAAUUUUAUUACAGCCAAUAUUUUUAGUCGACAAUUCUGUCCCUUAGACAGCAAUGGAAUAAAGAAGACUUCAUGUUCCGCCUUGAAUUCAAAGUGAAAAAAAUGCAUUUUAUCAUAAAAAGAAUGCAUUCGUUCAUUGCGAAUUAUUUUAGGAAAUUAUUGAAAAGGUCAACUCCAAGUUUUAAGAUUUUGAGUUGGUUGUUGAUUUAGACUGGUUUGCCUGUUGAAAGUAGAUUUUGCCUUUAAAAGCUGCUUUUAAUCUAACCUCAAUGCUAAACACACACAAAAAAAGUUUUUUAAUUUACAAACUCAAACUGAAAAACUCUUUAAAAAGUACUUUUGAAAUGAAAAAAAUGCGGAUUAAAAUAAAAAUUACUAUAUUAUCUUUAUAUCUUUUUAAUAUUUUAUUAUUUUACAUAUCUUUUUAAAUAUUUUGAUCAUGAUACUUUUUUACAGCAAUAAUAGAUAUUAAAAUUUUUAAGUGCACUUUUUUUUAACACUUUAUAAGCACACUUUUACUUCCACCUCAAUUUUUAUAUCGUUUAAAAUCUUCAAUUUCAAAUCCUAGAUUUAUCCAAACAUAGGAUUUCAAAUUCAAUAGCUUUGAAAAAAAAAUCAGAAGAAAAGUAUGUAAAGAGCCCAUGUUUGGCAAAGUAGAGAGACCUUAACGGUUAUAAAACUCGGAUCAAAUUAAAUUUUAAUUUUUUAAACAAUACACAAUUUUAAAAUUUGAUUCAAAUUUAAACCUAAUUUUCGUAUAUUUUUUUUGAAUAAUGUAUAAAAUUAUAAAAUUUAAAAUUUGAUUAAAAUUUAAGUCAAAUUUUUAUACAUUUUCAAAUCAAAUCAUAAAUUACAUAUUCAAUUCGAUUUAGUUUAAUGAUUUUAAAAUUUUAAAUUUUUUAUAUAUAUUAUUUUAAUAUAAUUUUUAAUAUAUUUAAAUAAAUUUAUGUACAACAUCUUGAUUUAAUAGUUAAAAAUAUAUUAAAAAAACAUAAAAUUAGGAUUCAAUUUUAGCUUCUUUCCUCCCUCUUAUUGUAAGGUUCUGUCAUUUAAAAUAAAAAAAAAUUAUUUAUAAAAAUUUUGAAAAAUAUAUAAAAAAUAAUAAAAAUAUAUAAUUUAUUUUAUUCAAACUUUUUUAUUUUUUAUUUUUCAAUUUAAAAUCCUAUCACAAUUUAAUAUAUAUAUAUAUAUAUUAAUAUUUAAAUUUAAUUCAAGCUAAAUAAAAAAAAAAAAACUGAUAUGACUCAAACAAAACAUUAAAAUUUUAAAUUAAUUUUUUCUUUUUUCGAUUUUUUUCUCACCAUUAGCCUACUCGUCGUACCUGUUUUGCUUCUGCGUCUUGAAGGAGCGACCUAAUAUCCUGAAAAUUGGCGGUCAUUUUUCGGAUUUCUUCUUCAAGUCACAGAGCCACCCCAACUUUGUUUUUUAUCUCUUCGGGUAUCAUUAUCAAGGAACCCAACUUCUCCAGAACUGCUGAAACAAUUAAUUUCGCCAUUGAUUUUUUCCUCAGAUUGAUCAAACAGUACCAAAGACCACUCCAAAUUAUUUUAUAGGAAGAAAAACCCCGAGAAAAGAAGAAAAAAAAAGUGUGAAGGUAGGUUGGAAUUGGGGUUUCUGUUUGCUGGUGAAGGUAUAUCUUCCUUCUUUUGGAUCUUCUUUCUGUGCACGCAAAGUUCUAUAAAUAAAUUAGACUUCGACUACAAGAUUAUGAACAUUAAAACCCUUUGUUACCAAGGCACCGCAAAUUAGUGGAAACACUCCUACUUUAGUCAGUGUGCACAAAUAUAUGGUUUCUCACUUUCGCGCACUUUCUGGUUUCUUAUAAACAUUAUACACCGACUCUAGUUUUGGGUUUAUUCUCGCCGACUCAGUUUAAGUUUUUUUUUUUCUUUUUUUUUCAAUGUCUUAAAAUGAUUCUUUUUUAUUUAAAAUUUUUCUAAUUUUUUUAAUAAUAAAAUUUAAAUACAUAAAAAUUUAAAAAAUCUUAUUAUUUUUAAAAAUAAAAAUAAAAACAAGAGUAAUUGAGUAAAAAAUAAGAUUUAUUAUAUAAAUUUAAAUUUUAUAUAAAAUGAGGAUUCAACCUUUAUUUUAAAAAUUUUAAAAUUUAAAAUUAAAAAUCAUAUUUAAUGCAUAUGAUUAUUAAUAUUAUUAUUUCAUAUCGUGUUUGAUUUAUAUAUAAAGAAAAAAAUAAAAAUUGAAAGGAAGUUUAAUUUUUUUAGCGUAAAGUUAUUCAAUCUUUAUCAAGUGAAGAAGAUUAUUUUUAAUUUAUAAAAUUAAAUUUAAAUAUUUAAUUAUAUCUUUAAAACUUCUAUCAAUAAUUUAAAUUUUAUUAAUUUUAAAAAAAAAUUUUGAUAAAUAAAAGAAUUAUGCUAUCUUAAUUUUUGCAUAUAUCAAAUAUAAAAUAAAAUAAUAUUAUUUUAUUUUAUUUUAUUUAGAAUACUAUUUUAUCUUACAUUAUUAUAAUUUUGUAUACUAUAUAUGUCAAAAAUAAUAUUUAAUAAAUUUAAAAAUUUUAUAUUUUUUAUUUAUAAAAGAAUUUUAAAAUCUGAUGAUGAUUGCGCAACUUCAUUAUGUCGAUUAGCCCAGACCUAGACCCAUAGUGGGCCCCACUUGAUAGUUGAUAAUAGAGUAAAUUAUAUUACUUACAAUUUUGAGAUUUCAAGUUUUUCAACUUUCACAUUUUUAUUAUUGUUUUUUGCAUUUAGCAUUUUGUGAUUUAGUUCCAUACUUAACGGAUGCUAUAUUAACUUGACAAAUUAUGAAAAUAUUUUAAAAAAUGAGAAACCUAAAAUAAUUUGAUAAUUUUAAUGUGUGAAUUUACCAUCUUAGCUUUUUUGAAUAAUAGAAUUAAAAUAUAUUUUUUAUAUGGUCAUAAUUUGAUAAAAAUUAGAAAAUUAAAAACUUUAAAUUUGUUAAAUAUCAUUUCUAAAAACAAUUAAUUAAAUUAAACUGUUGAUUAUAUAGAUGUUCUUUCAACAUGUUAAUGUGUAUCUAACAAUAAGCGUAUCACCGAAAGCGAUGAAGGAGAUGGCCAAAAGAGUCAAGCCAUUUCCUUUUAUAGGCUAAGGAAAUAAGCAAAUUUUCAAUUCGGUUGAUACAGGUUGAAUAUAUAGACAUAGGCAAGCCAUGUCCAUGAAUGUAAAAAUGGAUAGUUCCAUAGGUUCCCCCCAUAUCCCUUAGCAGUCCGAUAAAGACUGAAAAUUGGUGGCUAGUGGCUAUCACUCAGAGUUGCCUUAUAUGGUAACAGUAUUAUUAAACAUAAUUACUAAACAUAAUUACAAACUCUCUAAUCUGGAAAGCAUCUUACUUAUCAAAUAAGAAAUUUAGUUUAGUUAAUUUAUAUAAUUAUUUUUUAUAUUAAAUUCAAAAUUGAAAUUUUAAUAUUUAUAAUCUAUUAACUUAAAUUGUGGCCUUGUAAAAAAUUUUCUAACCUACCAUUCCCAUUCAAUGUUUCUUGCUAAAAAAUGUACAUGCAUAUUUUUUGCCCUUUACAAUUUGGACUAACCUUUUUUAUCUAAAACUUCCUGUCACUUUUUAUUUUUUUCACUGACAAGUCAUAUCUCUAAACUUUUGUAAUUCAUAAGAUAAAUUUUAUAAAUGUACAUAGUACAAGACUUUUCAAUAGGGGUGUUAUAUAGCGCCUUCAUUUUUUUUCUUGUUUAUUUUUUUAUUUUUUAAAAAUACAUAAAAAAAAAAGAAGUAAUUGUUCCUUGAUUUAAUCAAAGAGAAAAUGAAAAAAGGGUAAGUAAAAGGUUUUUGAUAUGAAAAGUUAACAAAAAUCAUGUUAUGACAAAAAAAAACGUAGUUAAAAAGUUAACAAAUACCAUAAUUUUUGUUUUCAAUACGUAAUUUUUUAAUACAAUCUAAAUAACAUGUUUUUCAUAUAGAAAAAGUGAUUUUGUAAAGUCAAAGCUAGCUCUUACCCAUAUUUAUUUGUCAGACGUUACUUUUAAUGUCAUAUUGAGAAUAAAAAGAAAAGAUAUAUUGCUUUCAUAAGCUGUCAGCCAUAAUUGUUUUUUUUCUAUUCAAAAAAUUCUUAGGAAAGUAAAAUGAAAAAAUUUUGUGAGAUGUUGGAGCACAAAAAUUAUAUUUUUUACAUAAGAAAAGUAGUUUUUGUAGUUUUUUUUUUAUUGUAAAAAAUUUCUUGUAAAAGUAAAAGAGAAGAUUUUGUGAGAUUCAUUGACUUACAUUUUCCUUUAUCAUUUUUGCUUUGGUACACAAAGACUAUGUCUCUUACAUAAGAAAGGAAGUCUUUGUAGUUUUUUGUUUUGAAAAAAAAAAGUUCUUAGAAAAGGUAAAAAAGAAUAUUUUGUGAGAUUUUGGUGCAUAAAUGUAGCUUUUGUAGUUUUUUGUUGUAAAAAAAUUUAUGAAAAAGUGAAAAAAGAAAAUUUGGUGAGAUUCGUUGACUUACAUUCUUCAUUAUCAUUUUUGCUUUUUUAAGAUUAUUAAUUAAUAUGUGAAACGAUAAAAUAGUUAUUGAAAAGGUAAGAUGAUAGUUGAUGAGACUCGAAAAACCUCAACCUUAAAGUAUAAAUAUAGUAAUUAAUUUAUAAAAAUUAUCAAAAAAUACGUUUUCUAAAUUAUAAAUGCAAUCUUUAUUUGAUGUUUAUAAAAAAAUAUAUUUUACAAAAAUUACGUUUUUAAAAAUAUAAACGUAGUCAUUAAUUAAAAAAAUUCACCAAAAACUAUAUUUUUAAAAUUAAAAACACAGUAUUUAGCUAAUAUUACAAACACUAAAUGUCACAUUUCUAUAAUUAUAAAUGUAGUCUUUAGAGUAAAAUCUAUAAUAUAAAUUUUCUAGAGAUUUGAAAGCAAGUGGGGUAUCCACGUGGCACCACCAUUCUUUUUCUGUAUGUUAAAAAUUUGUGUUAUUUUUUAAAUGUUUUUGCUUUCUCUUUAUUUUAUUUGUUUUAUACUUUAUUUUUUUAGAUUUUUUCUUUUUUUAUUUAAUUUAAUUUAAUUUGUUUUUUACUUUUUAAAAAAAUUAUGUAAAAAAAGUCAAUGAAUAUAAGAAUGAUAAAAUAAUCCGUUAUGGAUUCUUUUUUUUUUUUUUUGCUCUUUUAAGAUAAAUUAUGUAACAAAAAAGUUAAUAAAUAUAAGAGAAGAUGUCCACAUGGCAUAUCCUUUCUUCAAAAUUCUAUUUUUUUCCAUAUUUAUUUAUUGAUUUAUUGACAUUUUUUUUAUUAAAUAAAUUUUGUAAAAAAAAUUAAUGGAGGUAAGGAUGAUAAAACAAUCUAUAUUCGAUUAAUUUUGAUUUGUCUCGAUUCAAUAUAAAUGCAAUUUAAAAAAACUCGUAAUCGAAUCGAGAUUUUUUUUUUUUUUGAAAAAUCGAAAUCAAAUCGGAGAUGAAUUUAAGGUGUUUCAUCAAUAUAAUAGAAAGGUUGCACUUUUUUUUUUUUUUAAUGUUGAUGGUGCUCACCAUAGAUCUUUUCAAUUGUUUCACUCUUUUUUAAUCCUUUUUAAUAAAAUGAUUGAGAUGAUGGUAUAGAAAAUGAUUAAGAUUAUGGUAAUAAGUGAAGGGUAACAUAAUUCUAAUAACAUAUUUGAGAUUUGAGGUGAUGAUGAUAGGUGAUGAAUUGGUGAAUCACGUGCAUGUCCUUAUUAGAAAAAAAAUUAUUUUAUAUUUUUUCUUUUCUUUCAUUUUCUCUCUUGUCUCUCACCCUUUUAAACUCUUUUACCUCUUAACUUUCCCACAAUCCUUUAAAAAGAAAACUUAUAUACUCUCUUUUACUCUUCAUCCAACGUUGAUCGUCAUUUGCUAGCAAUGGAUUUUCAUAAAAAAAUGCCUUCAACCUCUUCUUAAUUUUUUAUUCAUAUCUAUCGAGUUAGUAUUUUCAAAAUCAACUAAGAAAAGUCUAUAUCUAAAUCUAAAAAUCAUAACUUCAAUUUUCUAAAAACACCAUUUCCACCAGCUGAAAUAGUUUGAAAUUUGACUAUGUUACUCCCCUUAUUUUCGCUCUUUGUUUUCUCUAAUUUAGAUUUUUUAACACCUUUUAUCAUUAAGAUUCACCAUUAUUAUUGUUGUCAUUCACUUCUUAUAUCUAAUUAAUGCUAGGCAAAUCGGUCAUAUAUUUCUAACUUUGUAUAUUUUUAAAUCUUAAUGCUUUUUCUUAAGAUUUUUUCGUUAAAUAUGACAUUUAUUACCUUAAUUUUUUUUGUUAUGAUAUUUUUACAUGUGUACACAUGAGUUUCAAUUUUAUUUUUCAGAUACUUUCAAUAUGUUUGUCUUAUUUUUAUUUACUAUCGCAUGAUAUUUUUGUUUACUUAAUACUUUUCUUUUAUUGUUUUAUUGCAUUUAUAUAAAUACCCAUAAGCUUUUCAUGUAAUUUCUUUGAAAUGUCCUAAACAGUUUUCCCUAACAUUGAUUUAGGGUCCAAAAUUGUCCACAUCGAUCCCUAAUCUUACUUGACUAGAACACUUCCUCCCCCAAUUCACUGUUGUCUUUCUUUUUUUGCAUGUAUAAUUCCAAAAUUCCUGUUGUUUUUCAUCUCAUAAUCAAGUGAGAAUACAGAAUCCAUUUGCAUUCACAGAUUGUAAUCGAAACAUCUGUUUUCCUCGUGUUCUUUAGAUGUUGGAAAGUAAUAGAUAAAUCAUCAUGACAAAGAGUUUCUUUUUUAUUUAUUUUUCCUUCUCAAUUUUCAUUCAUUUAUGUUGUUGAUAAGAGGCAUGAGAGAGUUUUCUUAUUCUUGAUAUUGUUAUUCUUACUGCAUAUAAUUUUCUUUUGUAGUUGAUUCUAUCUUCAUUUUCUCUAAUAUGAAAAUAUAUAAUUUGCAUAUAACAUGUACUAACAUUUAAUGCACCUGGGAUGGGAAUUUCAAGCAUGCCAUUUGCCUUUCAAUUCCCAUAAAUAGUGUCAUUGAAUGCUGCCAUACUUGGAUUCAAGCAGCUUUAAUACACAACCAUAUGGUUGAACUGUUGCAAGUCAAUUAGACAAGAUUCUUCUAAUACAUAAGCCUAAAAUUUUUUUAAAAUUAAAAUUUGAGGAUUCACAUCAAAAUUUUAUUAAAAUGUUGCUUUGAAAUUUGUAGGAUUAAAAGAGUUGAUUAACGCUUGAGGGAAAUGAAAAAUGGAACAAAAGAAGAUAGUAGAAAAUGGGGAAAGGGAAAGGGAAACGGUAGAUGUGAUAGAACUGAAGUUUUUUAGUGAAGAGAUGAGUUAUGCCAAUCAUUUAAUUUUAAAACGGUGUGAUUUCCCAAAAUGAAAGAUUGACAAUUCAUGUGUGGAAUUUAUAGGCUGAAUCAACAAAUAAAGGGCACGACCUUACUUGAACAUGAUCUGUUCUAUAGGCUCGAACCUCUAUGUCUAUGAGCACAAAGGAGACAGGAUCUUAAGUCUAGUUGAUGAAUCAUGACCUUGUGAUCAGAGCGUGAUUAAACCCAUUCAAUGGAUUACCUGUGACCUAUUGAAGUAUUUGAGGAUAGUUUUCAGCCAAGGGUUUGGGUCACGUAGUGAGACUUAAGCUCCAGGCUCGUAUGGCUCCAGGACUCAAGCAUGCACUCAUCCGCAUCCUGGAUCAGCCUACCUACCACGGUUUUCUUCCCCACCCAACUUCGUGAUGCCCUCUUCCCCACCCAACUUCGUGACGCCCUCAUCAUGGAGGCUGGCCACUUUGCCUACCUCCUUCGAAAUGCUUGGUGUGAAUCGAAUGGUUAACAAUUUAGGGUUGGCUCUGAUACCACUUGUCACGUGCCAGACUUAAGCUCCAGGCUCAUCCGAACCCAUGACCCGGCAUGCACUCAUCUGACGUCGGAUCAAUUUAGCUGCCACGGUUCACACCCUUAUGAGGUAUUAUCCGCUAUGGGCCUUCUAACUCAUGGUUUUAUCCUACAAAUGAUAGCUCCCAAGAGGAAGGUGGUGUGAACCCUUUUAUACCUCAGUGACCCUCUUUUUAUAUCCGAUGUGGGAUUCAGGACUCCUCUUUAGGUCCGUGAUAUUUGUACCAACUGGGAUGGUCACAAGGUUGUCUGAUAGACUAUUUUUCGAUUUCAUUUUUUUUUUGGUUUCACCUCAUAAUUCGUAAUGCUUCAUUGCAAACCAAUUUAGAUAAGUAUAGAUGUUUUGGAAGAAUUGAUUUUAGAUUUUUCCCAAUUGCCUAAUUGGUAACAAUGAAUCUAAUUUGUAAUGGUCUACAAGCCUUUAGUCUAGUGACUAAAGGUGUUUGAGAGGAUAUUAAAGGUCUGGUUUCGAACCAGGUCUUCCCUUCCGUUUUACUUGUACUAAAAUUUUAUCCUCAUGAUGUAACCAAAAAAAAAAAAAAGAAUCAAAUUUGCAAUGACAGCUUGUGCUCAGCUUAACAGCAUCCAAAAUAAUGCAUGCUUACCUUCAAUUUAGACAUACUUCAGAGCCACUUUUAUUAUCUUUUCAAGUUAAAGAGGCAAUGUUACUUAAAUAAAUAUUGGGGUGGCGUUAUGUUCAAAUGGAGGAUAAUUUUGAGGUACUAACGGAAGAAUAUUUGAAACCAAUAUUGGGUAGGGACCGCGCGAAUGCAGGCCCCCGCUGCCACAAAUUAUGACGUAGGCUUUCCACUUGGGAAGACCUUAGAGCCGCACCCCUCCCAAGUGCAAUAGAAGUCAUUGCCCUAGGCCAUGGGUCUUAUUGAUCAUCCAUUGACCCUAUCCAGGUAAGUAUGUUUUAAUGUUAGGAUAUGAUUCUACCUUGUACAAGUCGCUUAUAAUUCGUUUAUGAUAUGAUAGGGAUGUGGGAUUAAGUGAUAUUGUACAUUAUUGUCUAAAGACCAAGCUUUCUCAAAAAAAAAAAAGAAAUCAAGAAAUUUUUAAAAGUUUUGAUCAAACGAUAAUGUAAAAUGGCAAUUCCAUCAUCUUUAAAUUAAUGGGAUAUUUUGAUAUUUAAAAGUUGAGACUUUAAUUUGAAAGUCUUCAAUUCACUUCUUAAAAUAAAAUAGAUGAGAUUUAUAUUAGAUUGAUUGAAGAAGCCUCUUCCAUUAUAUAACCAAAAAUCAAGUGAAGAGAUGCAUUACAUUUUUAUAAAGGCUUUUCCAUGCUGAUCCCAAUAGUCAACUUGAGAUUAAUUAAAAUGGCUAAGAGUUAUCAUUUACAACAGCAAUUUUGCAAGCUAAAUUAUACUCAAAUGUACCUGUUCAACUGAUCUUUUGCUAAAUAUUGAAAGAAAAUUAUGAUAUUGAUAAAAAUUUGACCUUUUUUUAAUCAAGACAUUGAAUUAUCACAGCAUAUUCUAAAGACAAUGAAUUAUCAUAGUAUAUAUAGAAUAGAAUUAUAGAAAAUCACCAAAAUGAUAGUUACAUGCAUGUCUUUAUAUUCAAAGAAUUAUUUUUCCUCCCAUCAAAAAAGAAAUUGACAAAAUCUUGCAUUUAGAAAAGUAAGACGAACACAUCCCAUACAAAUAUUGAUGUGAAAGAAAAAUGAAGUCCAAUAACGCAAACCAGGCCUAAAGAGAGAUCAGAACUUGCAGUAGAUAGAUAUGAAACCUUUCAAAACUAGGAAUCGUAGGGCAUUACCCUGAAGGGAGCCCUUCUAGAUAUUCUCAAAGGCUAGGUCUGAACCAAGGCCAAAGAGGGGGUUUGGAAAUAGUUUGGAAAGAGCACGGUCAUCUUCCUUAUCGAUCUGGGUUAGUAAAGAAAAAAAAGGAGUACGGAUGUUGUCCUAAUUGAUCUGUAAAGGUAAAAGCAAUUUACAGUAAUAAUUUUACUCAUCUCUCAUAUUCAUGAAAAACUAUACAAUCAUAUAUAUAGGACAAGUUAUGCGCCAAAAUAUUUGAUCGAAUUUAUGUUAAUAAAUUGAUACCCCAAAAGAACUUAGUAAAAUUCAUGCUACAAUUCAAUUGCCUUUCCCAGUGUAUUAAUUAUACUAAAUAAAUAACUCUACAAGCUCAACAAUUAUGUAAUUCAGAAAUACAAAGUCAGAGUUUUAUCCCUAAAUAAAAAAAAGAAACUAAAAUAAUUACAUAUAUAUUGAGCAAUAUGCAAUCUAAUCUAAGAUAUCAUAAUUGAUAAGUGUCAUCCCCUCAGUAAUGGAUGCCAAUGCCUUAGUAAUUGCCAUUGAAAGCUCUGUCUUGUAAACUUGAGCAGAAUUUUGAGGAGAUUGAUAAAGAAAUUAGAACAAGGCACAAAUACAGCAAUGUGAUCGUACUCAGCCAGAUGAACCUUAAAUCAACUCUGCUUACACAAAUAGUUUUAUGGUUAACUUUCAGAACAAUUUAGUCAUAAACAUAUCACCUAACUAUUUUAAAUAUCAUAUUUCUGGAGAGAGUAGCUUUUUUGGCAUAUGGGCUUUUAGAGUUUUAACUGGUUGUGAAUGUUAAAAGCAAGAUUUUUUUCCUAGUACUUCUUCACAGACUAACGGUUUCUUCACUUCUUUGAAAGAAAUUGCCUCUUAGACUCAUGAUACUUCUGAUAAUGGAUCUUUAAUUUCCUUUUCCAUUUUAGUUUGGAAUUUUAACAAGUAAUUUGUGGCAUUUUUGCUAGCAAAUCCAAUGAUUUAAAACAUUAGGUAGCAAAUAUUUAAAACAUUUUUAAAAUUAUAGAUGAUCAUGUUUAAAACAUUAAUGUUUUUAAAAUAUUGUUUGGUGAAGAAAAUAAAAGAAUUUGAAUGCUGAAGUUCUUCUUAUCAGGUUUUUCAUGUUCAAUCAAAAUCAACCACACAAAAUACCAUUGUAUUACAAUAAUUUGAAAGCAGAAUCCCACUUACAAAGGAUAGAUAUCCUUUCACAUCUGGGGAUCGUACACUUUGUGUUUAUAAUUGUUUCAUGGCCCUGUCAAAUAGUAGAACCUAGAAUUUUGAACCUUUGCCAAUGGUUGGUAAGACUUGCAAAGCUAUCCAGUUGAUAGAAUCAUAAAACCAUUUCACUACAAUUGGAAGGGUGCGCCAGGCCCUUAGAGUAGUACAACGCAUGGGCGACGCAUGAGAACCCUAGUAGAAGCACCAAAGUUCCAAUUAAACCGUGUUGUAAAUCAUCCUUAAGUUGUUCACAAUGUGGGAUAGAGAACUCAGCCAAACAACAGCAGCAGCACCAUGGCAUCGUUGCCAUGAAUCCAUGAUAGAAAGUAAUUUGCUUGUGCAGGUGAUCCUUGAACUAAAACUCGCAAUAAAGACGCUCAUGACCAUACAACUUAUAUGUGAUCACAUUUGGUGGUAAGUUCUGGUGAUAACCAUAUGACCCAGGAUUCAUAUGCUCCAGUUCAUAAUUACGUCGGCUUCAUAAUUUGGAAAGGUGAAAAGAAAAAAACUAUAUAUAUCAGACAUUGGCAUCUAUUUUCAUAACUGAUGAGAAAAGUUCAAUUAUUUUCAUUCCAAGUCAUAAAAAAAUUCCACACUUCAAAAAACAUCGAACUGCUUCAGGAGAAAAGGACCUAGGCAUAUUUCUACAUAAGCACCGAGGAACGAAUUCGGCACAUGAAACUUUAACGUCUAAACUUAAACGAAAGACACUAAAACAUAUGCUAAGAUUUAAAAUAAAUUUGGUAGGAGCGGCGCGAACGCAGGCCCCCUCUGCCACAUCAUCUCGUCCAGGUAAGUAAGCUUAAAAGCUGCAGCUUGCCUCAUAUUUAUAAUACAACACUAUGCUACACUAUCCUCACUCAGUGAUGCGGAACUGUUUGAAGGCUGAAGUGCUAAAAGUGAGGUUCAAUCCUCUUUUAGAGACAUCAUAAGAACGUUCCUUUUCUUGACUGCCUACAUUUGUCAGAACUCAUUUGAAGGCAAACAGGCACUAGCAAAUCACUAUGUAGUGUCCAGAUUACUACACAAAAUCCAUACAUUUAACUUUUGGCAAGUAGGGACUAGCAAAUUACUAGGUAUUAUAAUAGCAAGUAAUUGGAUCUUAAUUCAAAUGAUUAAUUUAUCUUUUUUUAAGAGAUGAAAUUUUUUAAAGUUGGGAUUCGAUUUUCAAUACCUACAAUUUCUCUUAUCUCUUUUUGAAUCUUUUAUGUUGCGAUCUGUUUUACAUUAAAAAAAAAAAAAAACAAGGUGGUCUUCUUUAGGGUUUAGUAAGUUUUGUUUGGGGUGCAAGGGAGUUAUCUCAAGAUUGUCGCUAGGUGGUCUUUGAGAAUCAUAGUGUGAGGUCUAGUUGAAGAUCAAGGUGGGCAAUUUGUGGUUGGAGAAUGGAGGAAAAUCUUGAUAUUCUGUGGAGGCAGUUAUAGUUAAGGCACAUACAAAUGGAUCAGGACAAGAGGCCAACGGUAAAAAGGCAUGGAUGGUUGGGAAACUACUAACCAAUCGAUCCUAUAACAAAGAGGCGAUGAAGAGCACACUGAAGUUAAUCUGGAGGCUAGCAAGAGAGGUCGAUAUUGAAGAUCUAGAGAACAACUUUUUCCUUUUUAAGUUCUCAUCCUGUGCAGACAUGAAAAGAGCGAUAGAAGGUUCGCCUUUAGAGCUUUGAUAAACAACUGAUAUUAUUCAAAGAAUACGAUGGUGGAUUAAAGCCUGAGGAUUGUAUCUUCAAUACAGUACUCUUUUGGGUAAGGGUGUAUGAACUGCCAUUAGGCAUGCGAAACCAGGAGAUCGUAAAUCACAUUGGAGAGAAGAUAGGCAACCUUAAAUCAAUUGAUGCAACCCCUGAAGUAAGAGGCUUGGUUCCUACGUUAGUUGAGGUAGAUAUAACAAGACCAUUAAGGAGGGCUGUGUUACUCACCACAAGAGUUGAGGUAAAGGAGAUAUGGGGUAGAUUAAGCUACAAGCGAUUACCCAGCUUCUGUUACGUUUGUGGAAGAUUAGGGCAUAUUGAGGACGAAUGUGGCAAAGGGAAAAGGGAGCAAGUCGUCACCAAUAAGGUAGUUCAGGGGAUGGCUUCGGGCCUCACCGCUUAAAAACAAACAUUCGCCAUGGGAGGAAGGAAAUGUAAGGAUUGGAAUGCACGGCAAAAGGGAGAGGAAUCUGUCAUAACAAUGAGCAAGUAAUGUCGAUGGCCGGAGAGGGAGUUGUUCGGAAGCUGAAUCUAGUGAUGAAUCAAGAUAGCAGUUACGUGCAUGAAAAUCGAGAUUCGUUAAAUCAGGUGAUUGAAGAUACUGGGAUAAUGACUCGAUAAAGGAAGAACAAUCCCAUAAUUCUAGCAUGAAAAGGGAUUGUCAAAUCCCAAAACUGAUGGUCUUAGGGUGUAUGGAUUAGGGGGUUAUGGAUCAAGUACCAACAUAUUAGGCAAAAAUAAUAUUAUGAUGGAGCCUACGUUAAAAGGUCCAAAUGAUAAGCAAAACAUGCCGAGUAAUCACAUGGUCUCGUGUAAGACGAUUUUCAAUAGCCUGAUGGAUCAAAUAGAUAGAACCAAGGAAAAAAAAUGAAGUUGGCUGAGUCAGAAGCGGUGGUAAAUGAUAGGUUCAUUAGCCAAGAGCAAGUUAAAAGAGACAUGGGAUAGGUAAUUAACCCAGGGAUGCAAUCACAUCAAAAAUGGAAGAAAUUAGCCAGGGUUACAAAAGAGGGAACGAAAUUUGUAAAUGUGAACACGGGGAAGGGAAAAUUGGGAAUUGACAAGACAGCAACAAUGGACAUGGAUAGCAUAGGGAAGAGGAGUAAAUGGGAUGAGAAGAAUGAUAAGGGGAACAAAUUUGUGGAAAUGGUGGAGGCUAGUAUCCUAGUCUUGUUGAGAUCAACGAAAUGCUUAGCUUGGAACUAUCGUGGGCUUGGGAACCUAUGUGUAAUCCGAACCCUUCAGAACAUUCUGAAGAGGGAAGAUCCUGUGCUGGUAUUUCUAUCGAAAACUAUCUCUAAUAAAACAAAAUUUGACCGAAUAAGGAGGCAGUGUCAGUUUGAAGGUAUGAUUAUGGUCGAAGCAAAUGGUAGAAGCAGAGGUCUAGUAUUACUCUGGAAAGAGGAAGUAACGCUGAAAUUGUGGAGCUUUUCAAAAUAUCAUAUUGAUAUGGGGGUUAAGGACUCAACAGAGAAAACGUGGAUGAUCACGAGCUUCUAUAGAGAACCAUUAACAAGGGAAAGGCAUGUUGCUUGUGAGAAGUUAUGCAGAUUGGUUAGGGGUAGUGAUAAUGCUUGGCUUUGUUUAGGUGACUUCAAUGAGAUAAUGUGAGACAAUGAAAAUGAGGGCAGGAGCAUAAGGCCGACGUGGCAAAUGGAGGCAUUUUGAUCAAUCUUGGAAGAAACAAAACUUCACGACGUGGGUCUUUUAGGACCUCAGUUUACAAGGGGGAGAGGUAGGAUGUGGCUAAUAGUAUAGGAGAAAGACUGGAUAGAGCUGUAGCAAACAAAGCAUGGAGUUGGAGUUUUCAAAUUUUCAGGUAAAGCACUUGGCUUACUCAGUCUUGAACCAUUGUCCAAUCAUGGUUGAUACUUAAAGAGCCAAACAGAAAGGUGUGGGUUGUUUAAAAGAAAGAAGAAAGCUUUGAAGCCAUGUAGGCCACAGAAGGCGAAAGCAAAUAUAUAGUGGAAAGGUGUUGGGUAGAUGGAAUAUACAAAGAUGUGAAGGCAAAGUUACAAGAGACACGUGACAGAUUGUGUACAUGGCUAGGGGAAAAUUUUUUGGUAUGAGGAACAAAAUAGAAAAACUAAAAAAAUUACCUUCAUGAGGUGCAAUAACAUGCGGUGAAUGAGGACAACUUGGCAAAAGAAAAGGAGCUAAAAUCAUGCCUAAACCGUGUAUUAUAACAAAAGAAAUUGUUUUGGAAGUAGAGAGCUCGGGUUACUUGGCUUAAGGAUGGGGAUGAUAAUAUAAGAUUUUUUUCGCGCUCAAACAUCAAAAAGGAGAAGAAUAAACAGAAUUUAAGGUGUGGAGGAUGACGAUGGGGUCUGUCACGAAGAUGAAUUAAGGGUGGCAGAGCAAGUAGUAAAUUAUUUUAAAAAUUUGUUUAAAUCACAAGGACCAUCCGUCACUAAUCAAAUCCUGGAAACAAUCUUCCCUUGCAUCAGAAAUGAGAUGAACAAUAACUCUUUUCAGAGUUCAUAGUCAAGUAAGCCUAUGAAGCAGUUAAACAGAUACAUCCGAGUAAAGCUACUGGACUGGAUGGUAUGUCUGCCUCGUUUUACUAGAAAUUUUGGCAUAUUGUAGCAGCGGAAGUUAUUGCAUUAUGCUUACAUGUUCUCAAUGGGAAUGGUUGUUUGAAUGAUAUCAAUGAUACCCAAAUUAUACUCAUCCCUAAAACCAGCAACCCUAAGAGACUGUCUCAAUAUCUUCCUAUAAGUCUUUUUAAUGUUCUCUAUAAAAUCAUUGCCAAGACCCUAGCUAAUAGGAUGAAACAUGUACUUUCUGUCUAUAUUAGCAAACAUCAAAGCGCAUUUGUUCUAGGCUGAUUAAUCUCUAAUAAUGCCAUUAUUGCUUAAGAGCUCAUCCAUAGCAUGAAUAGAAAGAGGAAGGACAUGGAUGGUUGGGUAGCCCUUAAAUUAGGCAUGAGCAAAGCCUAUGACUGGGUUGGGUAGCACUGUCUUAAUGCCAUCAUGGAAAUAUUAGUUUUCAGCUCUCGAUGGAAGUUGAUUAUUUUGAGUUGUAUUACAUCUGUUACCUACAAGUUGGUCAUUAACGGACAUGUGACUAACAAAUUUCUCCUACGAAGAGGUCUCCUAGGAGACCCCCUUUCACCAUACUUGUUCUUGAUAUGUACAGAGGUUCUAUCAACACCCUUGUCCAAAUACCAACGGGAUGGCUUGUUACAUGAAGUACGUGCAAGUGUCAGAGGCUUACAAAUCACUCAGUUAUUUUUUACAGAUGACAGUUUGCAUUUCUUCAAAACAAACCAAGAGGAAUGCAAAUAUAUGAGAAACUUGCUAGAAGUAUACGAAGAAGGUUCGAGGUAGCAGACCAAUUGCGAAAAAUCGGGCAUACUUUUUAAUAAAAAAUACAAGUGCCGAUGUCGUAGAGAUGAUAAAGAACUUUUUUGGGGUACAAGCCACAACAAAUGCUAAAAAAUACUUUGGAUUUCCAAUGUUUGUCGAAAGAAAGAAAAAGAGAGCAUUUAAAGGAAUUGUGGAAAAGAUGGAAAAGAAAAUCGAACAGUAGAGCUACAGAUGGUUAUCACAAGAAAGCUAGGAGGUCUUCAUAAAGUCAGUGCUCCAGUAAAUGUCUUGGUAUGCAAUGUCAUGUUUCAUGUUCCCAAAAGGAUUAUGCCAUGAAAUUAAUAUGAUCAUCGGUAGAUAUUGGUGGCAAUAGUCAUCGAAAAGAGGAGGGAUCUGCUAGAUGGCUUGGAAAAGAAUGUGCACUGGAAAAAAGAAGGGUGGCAUGGGAUUUAAAGACAUGGAGAUAUUUAACAAAGCCAUGAUUACUAAACAAGGCUGGCGUUUAUUACAAAACACCUCGUCAUUAGUUUACAGGGUACUUAAAGUACUUCCCCAAAUCUGAUUUCCUCGAAGCUGAGCUUGGCAAAAUACCGUCCUAUUCCGAGAGGAGUAAAUGGAUGGGGAAAAGGGCCUUAGAGCUUGGGGUGAGAUGGCGCGUGGGCAAGAAAUAGAGUAUUCAGGUCUGGCAAGACAAAUGAAUUCCAAGAGAUGGAAGCUUCAGGCCCACACCUAACACAAACUACAUACAAGGGAUAGAAAUGGUAUGAGUGGAUAUCAUUUGUUGGUAUCAAGGGUGCUCAUUGGUAACUAGAGAAACGUAAACACUGAAGGGUCAACUGACAAUGGUUCGAAUAUGGCAUUUAGUGGUACCAAGCAAGGUAAAGAUUUUCACUUGAAGGCUGUGUCACGAUUAUUACCACUGUUUGAUGUCUUGAAAAACAGGGGAAUAAUGGAUCAAGUAACAUGCCCACGAUUUAACAUGCACAAUGAAACCAUGAUGCAUGCCAUAAAAAAGUAUUAAUAUGUAAAUAGGAAUGCCGAUGUCUAAGGUAGAGAAAAGUAGAGCAUUCUUCAUCCCUAUCUCUGAAUUUUUAUAUUAUACUUAUUUUGUAUUUAUAUCUAAUGGAUUUUUUAAAUCUAUUCUCAUCUCUAUUUCUAUGAGUAUUUAAUAGAUAUAGAUAAUCCUCGUACCAAUAAUUUUUUUUUUUUAAAUUAAAACUAAAAUUUAUUUUUUUAAGGUUUUUUUUUAAAUUUUUAUCUUAUAUAUUUAUGUAAUUUUUUUAUAAACAUAUAUAUUAAUAUUUUUUUUCAAUAAAAAUAUAUUAAUUCUAAUUAAUCUAAAAAAAUAAUUUAUAUUAUUUAAUAAAAAAUUUAUUUACUAAAUAUAUAUGAAUAUAUAUGUAAAGUAUGGAUAGAGGGCAGUUGUUAUAUUACUCAUCAUUAUUUCCGUAUUUAAUAAAAAUUCAAAAUUAUAUCUAUUUCCAUCUCUAUCCUUGCACUCAUAAUGUAAUGCCCAUUCUCAUCCCUAUUCCAGUAAAAUGCUGGAUUUUUCGUUAGAUAUGGAUAAGAUUGACAUCUUGUGGUACCAAGCACAACCGAAUGGAGCAUGGCAGACUACACAGGCAAAGACUACGACAGAAUGAUUGUCAGUACCGGCUAACAGCACCAGCAGGGAGUCAUUUCGCAAAGUCACCAUGUUAUGUUGGGCGAUACGGGGAAAUAGGAGUGAAGCUGUGAAGAAAAAAGUGCUAAGACCAACCCAGCAAAUGGUGGAAUUUGUGAACUAGUCUGUGGAGGACUAUUCUCGCACGCAUGAAGGAUAACUAGUGGCAAAGACAAAGCGAACAAGCCAGUGGCAGGCACCCAAUGGAGAAACGGUGAAGAUUAAUUUCGAUGGAGUAUUGGACAAAGAAAAAAAAGUUUGCUGGAAUAGGUGUCAUUGGGAGAAAUAGCAAGGGAAAGGUCCUAGGAACGUUGUGCAACACUGUUACAGGGAUGAAAGACCCAGAAAUUAUAGAGGGGAUGGCAGCGGUACAAGCAGCUGAAUAUGCAUGCAUGAUGCGUUUCCUGAAAAUUAUCUUGGAAGGAGAUGCACUUGGGAUUGUCGCACAAAUUGCAUAUGAUCAAGGAAGAAACCUGUCUGCAGUAGGAAACCUGGUGAUGGACACAAGGCUGGAGCUAAACCAUCUUGUAGAAUGGUCAUGUUCCCAUACUCACCGCGAAACUAAUGGUGCGGCCCAUAGGUUGGCAAGAAUUGCGGUAGAUAGGUUAGAGUCCCUGACCUGGAAUGGUGGCUAUUUAGAAGAUAUUAAAGAUAUUGUAAUACACGAAAUGCUCUUUUUGAAUUAAUGAAAUCACCUUCACUUAAAAAAAAAGAGUUACUAAUUAACAUUUGUUUAUAUUGAACAAAUGGAAAAUGAGUAAGUUAAAAAUGUCUAUACUUAGUUCAAAUUUUGUCCCGUUGAUAACGACAGAAUUUUGUACUAAAGGGUAUUAUUAUGCCUAUAUAAACUCUUUGUUUUGAUUCUCGAGUCGUGCUAUGAGAAAAUUUUUUAAUCACUAACUCUAAAAUUUUAUUUUUUAACAGUUGAAUUAUUUUCAUUAGUUAUAAGACUAUUUGAUUUAUUUUAUUUUAUUUGUACUUCCUUAUUCAAUUAAAUCAUUUAUUUUCAACUUAGACUCACUAAAAGAGUUGAAAAAAAAAAAAGGAGAGAGAGAGAACAUUAAAACGACACCAUUUUCCUUUUUUUUUUUUCACAGAAUUGCUAACAAAAUAACAAACAGACAUUUUUUAAAGGCGCAAACAAAGAAAAGAUCAGGAGACGAAGAGAGAGAUGGCAACGAGCGACGAGAGAGAUGAAAGGGGAAGGAGAAUCUCAGGGAAAGGGUUAAAUCGCAUGUCUCACAUCACGUCGGGACGAGCCCACAGCAUCUCUUCAUCUUCUUUACCACCUCUGCUUGACCAUGAUCAGCGUAAGCCUCUACAAUCUUACCUUUGGCAAUAAAUCGGGUGGGGACAAAAUUUUGCUCAAUUCGAUUUCAUAUCAAUUAAAUUUGAUCUCGAUUUGAUCUGAUUUUUUUUUAAUUUUUUUAUAUUCGAACUCAAUCUGACUUGCUAGUAUAUAAAUUAUAUCUGAUUUGAUCCGACUCGAAAUUAAUAAAAUAUUAUUUUUUAAAUAUAAAAUAUUAUUUUUUAAAUAUAAAUAAUUAAUUAAUUUAAAAAAUUAUUUUUAUAUAAUAUCAUAUCAGAUUAGAUCGAGUUCGGAUCGGGUUUGUCUAAAACUCGAAUUCGAUCCGAUCUCGAUUUUUUUCUUAACACUACCAAAUUCAAUCAGAUCUAAAAUUCGAUUUAAAAAAAAAAUUCAGCUCGAAUCGAAUCGAACCAAAAUCUGUCGGGAACGGGUUGGGUUGCCCACGCUAAUCUUACCUCCUCGAUCAAACCAAUGGUAGCCUCUUAGGUUUAUGGCCUUUAAAAGCAUAUUAGUUUGACGGUUUCCAUUGUAAUUAGAUCAACAUUUUAGGUAUCUGUGAAAGUUUGGAGAGUGGGUUUUGUUUCGUAUUCUUAGUAAUAGAUUCCAUGACAAUUCACAUUCCAUGGUACUUGGUAAUGCGCUCUACUAUUAUAUGCACAUGCUUUUUGUUGAAAAUUUGCCUUGGUGUCCAGAAUGUCCAUGUGAGAAGGUCCUUUGCAACAUAAGAUUCAUGAACUGUUGUAGGUGGAAUUGGUGAAUGACUUAUCUAGGUUGGUUACAAACUCUCAAUCUUGAUUCUACUCUGGUUUGUAAUCAAGAAUCAAGCCAUUGCUCUGGUACUGGAGAUUUCAUUUAAUGAAAGAGCGACCGAGGCAGGGAUUUUUUUUUGGACCACCUAUGUAACAUCCAUAUGGCAAUGAUUUUGCGAAAGAAAUCAUGCCCAAUUCACUUAGUCUUUCACAUAAAAACCCACCUGCCAAGUGCUAAAAGUAGUUAAUUUGCAGUCAAAAAGCCAUAGCAUAAAAAGCACAAUUCAUCUUAAAUUAAACUAUAGAAAUGACAAACAUCAUUUAGUCUAAUUCUCUUAUUCAGACCAAAGCUCAGACAUAUUCUGAGUAAUCUUCAAAAGUUCAAACUUCUGAAUGACUUGCCAGGCUCCACAAUUACAAUAAUCAGUACAAUUUUUGUUAGUACAAAACUUGCUACCAUGUCUGAGAUUGUUGCUUGGAAAUAUAGACAGAACAGGUCUUAAAUUCAAUGGUUGAAAAACCUGGCUCUUAAUUUAUAAUACUAGUUACAUAUAUGGUUUAGAUUUGUUGGAUAUUUUAAUUCAAUGGUUAGAUGGUAAACCAAUUUACUAUGUGCAAAAACAAAUUUGAUAAUUUUAAAUAUGAUACAAAAACGAUACAAAAAAGACAUAAAAAAUAUAUAAUUUAAAAUUUUGAUAAAAAUUAUAUAUUAAUUUGAUAAAAAUAAAAAAUAUAUUUCAUAUUUAACGUAUUAAUAUGAAUUAUGAUAUAUUAAUUUUUGUAUUUUACACAUAUUAGACAAAUUGAAAGUUUCCUCGUCUCUUCAUCCUCUUAGAGCAAAGAGCUUUAUAUAACUUUGCUCCUUUGUACUAAUCAAAUAUAACUUAAAGAAAGGAAAUAUGUGCAAUAAAAGUGUUGCAAUCGGGAUGGGAAAUUAAGAGUACAAAUGAGACAGAUGACUAGAGAAGCAACAGCCUUUCGAAAUGAAGGAUCGAUAUAUGAUAAGUCUUCUUUUGAUAAUCUUGUCGAUGUAGGAUAAGUCUUCUUUGAUAACCUUGUCCAAGAGAUCUCUCAAUCUUCACUAGUAUCGAGCAAAAUCUGACGCAACCUGCUUUAGUCCCCUUUCUUUGACAUCCCAUGUUACUUAAUAUCCAGUUCCUGUCUUCACAACAUCAAUGGCAAGUAGUUAGAAAACAUCACUUCAAAACUCAUAUUCCUUAACUCCAAACUAGUAAUUACUUAGCUCUAUUUAUUAUUAACAUUAAAAAAACCACAUUACCUAGUCUAUGUUCCGUGCAUCACCCAAAAGUUUUAUGGGGAAAUUUCCUCUUCACAUGCUUUGAAAUCAAAAAGUAUAGACCAGCAUGUCAUAUGAGCUUCAUAUGCUAGCUCAAACACCAAUGGUUAAUUAUGCAUUAACGAGUGACAUUGCAUGUAUUUCAAUAAUUAUAAAGGCGCCUUGAAACAAGUCACCUGCUAAAUAUUUCCUCUAAGUAUUAGAUUUUCCAUCUAGAAAUCAACAUCAAGUUCCUUGCUAAAAAUAAAGAAAUAGGUUAAACAAAUAUUACAUGCUUCAACAAUUUUAUGUCUGUUUGAUAACAAAUGAAAUUAAGGUAACUAUAGUUCAUACUUCAUGCAUACCUCUCCUCUGAUACACAUCAGUCUUGUUGAAACGCUUUGUGGAAAUCAUUAGAACUUAACAAAGAGCUGAAAAGCAAGCAGAUAGCAAGAGCAAAUUAGUUAAGGCAGAGAUGUAAUAGCAUUGACGUAACAUUUCUUUUCUUUCCUGCUGACAAGAGGAAAAAUUCAGCAGUUCAUUUUGCUAAAAAUCUUUGUGUUAAAAACUAAUUUAUAGUAGCUGGAAAAUCUUCUUCAUCUCUAAAAUACAAUCAUAAAAAAAGGUAUGUAAAGGAGUUAAAACUAAAUGUACUGCAAAGGUGUUUGUAAGGCCAUCAUUGCAAAUUUAAAAGCAACAGGCAACAACAUCAGAGACAGAUCCUGAUCACAUGCCAGUUUUGGAGUAAUGUUUUCAGAAAUAGGAAAACUUUAGACAAUUCAACCACAAAUUUAGGCAAAUAAUAUGCCAUACACCUGAAUGUGCUGCAAAUUGAUAUUAAUAAUAAAAUAUAAAAACACCUGUGUAGUGGCUGCAAUUGCAAUACUCCAAACUCUUCUGUAGAAAAGCAGUUUACUUGCACGCAUAGACCAUCGAUUAUGAUACUAGGGAUAUGAGAAAUUUUAAGCCAGUCCUCCCCUGUCUCCUUUCUGCAGCGUUCUGAAAGAAUAGGACUCUGACUUAUGUCCAAUUGCUUUAGACUUGUAUUCUUAACAAUGUAGCAUGGCAGUGCACUUAACUUUGGGCAGGAAUCAAUUGUUAGGGAACAAAGCCGAGGCAUAAUACUAAUAAGCUCUUCUUCUUUGCUUGUUAAUGGGAUCCAAUAACCCCACUCUUCCAUAUCACGAAAUUCGAGAUGUUUUAAACUAGGAAAGGCAAUAAUAGAUGAAGGUGACUCUGACGAUGCAGACAAUGCUGAUAUCUCUUCUUUUUCAACACCCAAAAAUUCAAUUCCCACUUUUUCCAAACUUCUCAUUUCCCCUAUAUAGAGUGAUUCAAGGGAUGGCAAUUUCCCCAAAGGAGGCAAAAUGUUCAAAUGAAAGCAAAAACCCAGCGAAAGAUGCCUCAGCUUGGCCAAGCCCAUCAUCCAGUUGGGGACAAUGGUGGGGCUACUGUAGCCCCAUAUCUCUAAUUUUUCCAAGCAAGGAGGUGGCUGUAAAGCUUCAAGAAGUCUUUCAUCUUCUUUUCUCUCUGACAUCAACCCCUUGGAAUUAGUAAAAUCUAGUAUCAAAUUGCGGAGGCCUUUCUUGUUUUGAAGUUCUGCUUUCUUAGCUUCAGCCACAUCACACACAACUCCCAGUCCACUUAUCUUAAGAUGUCCUUGAAGAUGCAUUAAGUUUCCAAGAUCACCAAGUGUAGAUGCUUCUUUGUUAAUUCCACCAUCCAUUGCCACGAACACCUUUAGCGUCCGAAGGUUUGUUAAUCUCCCAAUUCCUUUUGGCAUUGCCCUCAAGCUCAACUCUGUUUGCUCAUUCUCAAGAUGCCUCAAGUUGAUUAGUUUUCCAAUUCCAAACGGCAAUUCUUUAAGACUAUCACACCAUGUGAGGUUUAAGGCUUGCAAGUUACAUAACCCACAUACUGAUUCAGGUAAUUUUUUCAAUUUUCUAUUUUGUUUCAAGUUAAGGUAUCUCAAAUGAACCAAAUUUCCUGUUUGAUCAGGAAGUUCUUCAAUUGAAUUUCCAAACAAACUGUUACUCAAAUCUAAUGUUCUUAGACAAGUCAAUUGAUCAAACAACACGGGCAAUGAUGUGCUUAGUGAUGAAGUAUCAUGAUUGCUUGAGUCAAUAAGGAGGCUACGCAACUUUUUUAAAUGGUAAAUUUGAGGGACUAUUGGUACAGCUUCUUUACGAAUCAAUGUUACGUGGCGAGCCUUUUCAAAAAAGUCUAUACUCUGCUCUUCAAAACCAUCAUUUAGUAGCAUCAAACAUUCGGCUUCCAUUAAAAGUUGAGCAAAAUCAUGUACGAUGUCAUGCAUUUUGAAUUCCUUAAUACCACUGUGAAGUUCAGACCUUUUAAAAUCAUGAAAAAAAGAACGCAUCAUUAGCUCAUCAAAAUAUUCCUCACCGACAGUCUCCAUCUCUUCGCAUUGCACUCCCUUCAGGUAAUCUUGUGCCAUCCACAACUUGAUCAAUUCAUCUUUGUUUAAGAUCUUAUCUUUGGGAAAAACAGAGCAAUAUGAAAAGCACUGCUUAAGAGCCCAAGGUAACUCGUAAUAACUCAAAAAUAAGGGAGGGAAAAGAUCUCGUUCAGCCUCUUCAAGGCUCCAUAUUUCGCUAUCCAAGAUGCUUUGCCAUUGU
rnacentral:lncRNA from 1 species